rnacentral:rRNA from 1 species
GAUCUCCUACGGGAGGCAGCAGUGGGGAAUCUUGGACAAUGGGCGCAAGCCUGAUCCAGCCAUGCCGCGUGAGUGAUGAAGGCCCUAGGGUCGUAAAGCUCUUUCGCCAGGGAUGAUAAUGACAGUACCUGGUAAAGAAACCCCGGCUAACUCCGUGCCAGCAGCCGCGGUAAUACGGAGGGGGUUAGCGUUGUUCGGAAUUACUGGGCGUAAAGCGCACGUAGGCGGAUCGGAAAGUUGGGGGUGAAAUCCCGGGGCUCAACCCCGGAACUGCCUCCAAAACUAUCGGUCUAGAGUUCGAGAGAGGUGAGUGGAAUUCCGAGUGUAGAGGUGAAAUUCGUAGAUAUUCGGAGGAACACCAGUGGCGAAAGCGGCA